UACAGAGGGGGCAAGCGUUGUUCGGAAUUACUGGGGCGUAAAAGGGCGCGUAGGCGGCCUUCUAAGUCGAACGUGAAAUCCCCUGGGCUCAACCCAGGAACUGCGUCCGAUACUGGAAGGCUUGAAUCCGGGAGAGGGAUGCGGAAUUCCAGGUGUAGCGGUGAAAUGCGUAGAUAUCUGGAGGAACACCGGUGGCGAAGGCGGCAUCCUGGACCGGUAUUGACGCUGAGGCGCGAAAGCCAGGGGAGCAAACGGG
rnacentral:rRNA from 1 species